GAUGAACGCUGGCUACAGGCUUAACACAUGCAAGUCGAGGGGAAACGACGGGGAAGCUUGCUUCCCCGGGCGUCGACCGGCGCACGGGUGAGUAACGCGUAUCCAACCUGCCUCUGACUGAGGGAUAACCCGUCGAAAGUCGGCCUAAUACCUCAUGGUAUCGUCUGCGGGCAUCCAACGACGAUUAAAGAUUUCAUCGGUCAGGGAUGGGGAUGCGUCUGAUUAGCUUGUUGGCGGGGUAACGGCCCACCAAGGCUACGAUCAGUAGGGGUUCUGAGAGGAAGGUCCCCCACAUUGGAACUGAGACACGGUCCAAAUUCCUACGGGAGGCAGCAGUGAGGAAUAUUGGUCAAUGGGCGAGAGCCUGAACCAGCCAAGUAGCGUGCAGGAAGACGGCCCUAUGGGUUGUAAACUGCUUUUAUGCGGGGAUAAGGUGAGGGACGUGUCCCUCAUUGCAGGUACCGCAUGAAUAAGGACCGGCUAAUUCCGUG
rnacentral:rRNA from 1 species